CCUACGGGAGGCAGCAGUGGGGAAUAUUGCACAAUGGGGGAAAGCCUGAUGCAGCGACGCCGCGUGAGUGAAGAAGUAUUUCGGUAUGUAAAGCUCUAUUAGCAGGGAAGAAAAUGACGGUACCUGAUUAAGAAGCCCCGGCUAACUACGUGCCAGCAGCCGCGGUAAUACGUAGGGGGCAAGCGGUAUCCGGAUCUAAGGGGUGAAAAGGGAGCGUAGACGGCAGCACAAGUCUGGUGUGAAAUGCCGGGGCUUAACCCCGGAACGGCUUUGGAAACUGUGCGGCUUGAGUGCAGGAGAGGUAAGUGGAAUUCCUAGUGUAGCGGUGAAAUGCGUAGAUAUUAGGAGGAACACCAGUGGCGAAGGCGGCUUACUGGACUGUAACUGACGUUGAGGCGCGAAAGCGUGGGGAGCAAACAGGAUUAGAUACCCGAGUAGUC
rnacentral:rRNA from 1 species